rnacentral:tRNA from 1 species
UUUAAAUGAGGUAUGCCCCGAUAGUCUAGAGGCCAAGGACAUCGCCCUUUCGAGGCGGAAACCCGGGUUCAAA